rnacentral:snRNA from 1 species
AGAGGAUCGCAUAAGCCCAGGAGGCAGAGGUUGCAGUGAGUCGAGAUUGUGCCACUGCACUCCAGCCUGGGUGACAGAG